AGUGAACGCUGGCGGCAGGCCUAACACAUGCAAGUCGAGCGGAUGAAGGGAGCUUGCUCCUGGAUUCAGCGGCGGACGGGUGAGUAAUGCCUAGGAAUCUGCCUGUUAGUGUUGGAUAACGUCCGGAAACGGGCGCUAAUACCGCAUACGUCCUUAGGGAGAAAGUGGGGGAUCUUCGGACCUCACGCUAUCAGAUGAGCCUAGGUCGGAUUAGCUAGUUGGUGGGGUAAAGGCCUACCAAGGCGACGAUCCGUAACUGGUCUGAGAGGAUGAUCAGUCACACUGGAACUGAGACACGGUCCAGACUCCUACGGGAGGCAGCAGUGGGGAAUAUUGGACAAUGGGCGAAAGCCUGAUCCAGCCAUGCCGCGUGUGUGAAGAAGGUCUUCGGAUUGUAAAGCACUUUAAGUUGGGAGGAAGGGCAGUAAGUUAAUACCUUGCUGUUUUGACGUUACCAACAGAAUAAGCACCGGCUAACUUCGUG
rnacentral:rRNA from 1 species